rnacentral:lncRNA from 1 species
ACAGGCUCGUGCAUGGUGGUGACCUCAAAUGCCACUGUCAUCAUCCUUACCUCAGCCCCACUCCCAGGCCCCUCCUACACCUUCCCAUGAUUCAGUCCACUAAAGAAUUAAUAAUUGGUACAAGAGCCCUACCUGCAGAUCAUAGGCUUCUGUUAAUUGGUAAUUGUGCCUCUAGUUUUUCAAUAUUUUGAAAGUCAUCCUUGACUGAUUUCAGAUAGUACUAGAAAUUCUUAUUUCCUCUCCUCUGUUGUGAUGGACACAGCCAGGAUGAGCUCAGAUUAGGACACUAAUUAGAUCCAAGAUUCAGUUUUGCCAUCCACAGUUUCUGCACCUUUUAGAGGUAGGGUUAGUAUUAACCCCAGAGUAGAAAAGGCCUGUGCUUUAUUUAGGCCACAACCACAUGAUCUCUUACACUUCAGAACUCUCUCUCCAGCCCUGUACUGCAGAGCCUCAGAGCAGGUUCAGACUCCGGCCCCAUCUGAGAGCUCUGGCUCCAGACUCUUUUCAAUCCAUUUUCCAUAUGGCUCCCAGUGACUGUGCCGAUUGCCUCACUGAUUAACCCAGAUGGUGCUACUGGAAGAAAGACAGCAAAGAAAAACCUCAUUGUCCCAUAUACCUGGGCUCUAAUUUUUGCCCUGCAGCUGUAUUAUCUAUGUGACCUCAGAUAAAUUAUGUAAUUCAAAAAAAUCAGAAUUUCCUCUUAUUUAAAAUAGGGAUAUUAUUAUGGUCAUCACAUCAUUCCUUCAUGCCCUGACCGCCUGUAAUCUACAUUGGAUUUACUACAGGUUGUUCAUCUCUACCACUCCAAAACCUCCAAGAAAAACAAACAAAAUAAUUAAUUAAAUUUAAUGUUUAAAACAGUCCUUCAAAAGCAAGGGCCUUAUUGUAUUCAUUUUUGCCUCAGUGCCUCACCUGAUUCUUGUUAACAGUAGGUUGUUAGUAAAUAAAUUCCUCCAGGCUUGAAUCAAAUCAAGUUUCAAAACACCAAAAUAUAUUUAAAAUAUCAAAGCAUUGAAAAUGCAGUUGAUCCAGAUAUUUUCACAUCAGUAGAUUAUAAGCCAAAUGGAUUUCCUGCUUGGAUGAAAGUAGCCCUAAAGUUUACCCAAUCCCAACAAUUUCUGUCACUCACUCAAUGGCUUUUGUUCUCUAUAACCAGAUACUGUGGGCCAAGAAUCCCAGCACUUUUGCACCUUAACUUGACAGCAGGCAAAAUGAAUGACUAGGGUGACCCCUCCCAACAGAGCACAUGAUCCGCCACAGCUGUGCAUGUUUUCUAGCAUGACUGCACCAGGACACAGCUCCAAGCCACCGGGUGGAGCAAUGUGCCCCAGGGAGAAAGCUUUGACUUUUCCCCCAUGAUUUCAGAAAAGAAAAGAGAAAAGCCUCUUUUACUUAUGAGUUGUUUCUGCUUAAUGUCAAUAGGGAAUGUUAUCAUAUUUACAUAUGUACAUGCAUGAAUGUAUAGAAUAUCCACCCAGUGCUCCACACAUGUGAGGCAAGUGCUCUACCACUGAGCCACAACCCCAACCCCCAGAAUCUUAAUUUUAUUACACUGAAAAUGUACAUAGCUAGAAGACAAUUUCCUGGCCUCUCUGGGAGAGAUAGGUUUUAGCCAGUGAGAUCAGAAGUAUUGAGAGCAAGAUCCAAACAGGAUGCCUCAAAAAAGUUGACCCUAUUGAAAGGUAUGCUCUGUUUGACUUGCCGUCCUUCUUCCUUCCUCUGGAUGAAUGUAAUCUUGAUGGCUAGAGCUCCAGUAACCAUCCUGGAACUUGUGGUGACCUUGAGGAUGGAAGCCACAGGGCCAGUGUAAUGGAGCAGAUUGAGAAAGAAGGCUGGGUGCCACAUGACUUAAGUUACCACCAUACCAGCCUGAGAUGCUUGGUUUCUACCUGCUUCUCUUUCAGAGAAAGAGAAGCAUGUACAGUGAAGCACACCUGUAAUCCCACUUGGAAGGCCGAGGCAAGAGAAUCUUAAGUUUGAGGCCAGCCUCAGCAGCUUUAUGAAAGAAACUGUCUCAGAAUAAAAAAUUUUUAGGACUAGUUUAGCCCAUAGCCAGCACAGGCUUCAUAAAUGAAGGUUCAGCUAUGUGAGAAAUCCUAAGGGAGUUUGAAUUAAAAAGACAGGCACUAAUUACCUUUAAACCAGCUCCAGGACAGCUACUCCUACCUCCAGCCUCAAGCUACCUAUUAGAGUAGCAAGGUUUACUGAAGAG